rnacentral:rRNA from 1 species
AUACGGAGGGGGCUAGCGUUGUUCGGAAUUACUGGGCGUAAAGCGCGCGUAGGCGGGUUGGUAAGUUGAAGGUGAAAUCCCAGGGCUCAACCCUGGAACUGCCUCCAAAACUGCCAGCCUAGAGAUCGGAAGAGGUGAGUGGAAUUCCUAGUGUAGAGGUGAAAUUCGUAGAUAUUAGGAAGAACACCAGUGGCGAAGGCGACUCACUGGUCCGAUACUGACGCUGAGGUGCGAAAGCGUGGGGAGCAAACAGGAUUAGAAACCCUAGUAGUCC